GCGUUGAAAAAUCAGGAGGCUGUCGUUCUCCCAAAUGAGACUCAUGGAAAUCUCAGUAUGGAAAGCAGCUAAGUGUCCCGGCCCCUGUGGUGACACAGUUCCACCCUCCCCACCCUGCUCAGGCUGGAGGGCAGUCUGGGUGUGGAAAGGAGGAUAUUUUGGGCAGCAGCAUGCCUGGUGAGAAGACACCAGUCACCAGUUCCCUAGGUAUAGCUAAGUCCUGGCCAGCGGGACUUCUGAAAACUCAUUAGAAGCAUGAAGACAGCUGCCAUAGGUCCUUCCUGCCUUUCCUUUGUUCUUCUGGCUUCCUCUUUGGAAUGUCAGUUCGAUGGCUGGAACUCCCGCAGGCAUCCUGGUCCCUGAGGCAGCCUCGAGGCUGGAAAGCAGAGAGCAGAUGUAGAGUAAGAACCCAGGAGUCUCGAUCCUGAGAGUGAGACACCAGUAAGACCUGUGCACCGCGCUCAGCGGCGCUUCCUGGCCAGUGAACACUCUGCUGUGCUGGUGAGGGCCGCCACCGCCUGGUCGCCCUGGAGACCAGCGCCUGUCCACACAGGGGCUGCACCUGCGCCCGUCCAGCCUCCUUUCUCUUCGGGGCCUCUCACUGCACAAAACGAAAGAAGAGAAGGAAAACACUUGGCGGGUUGGUCUGUGGCCGCAGGCCAUGACUGAGGUCAGAGCUGGACCCAGCUAGAGCUGGCGGCGGGAAAGACUGGAGCAGCGGAGGAGGAAAUCAAGAGGCCAACAACACAAAGAUUGAUAGAAAUACAUUUUCCUUGUCUCUUCUGCACAUAAUACUCAGCAGGGAAAGAUGUCAGGCUGACAGGACUUGGCGCUGUUUUCUAUCUAAAGUCAGACUAUAACGCCACCAGGACCAGGACCUUCACCUUUUCUUCACUAACAUCCCGACUGAAACAGAGCAGCAGCUGGCAGCCCCAGAAUUGGCGCUAUUAUCACCCCCCUGCCCCCCAAAUCUGAGGACAAGGACGCAGAGAGGAGGGACAUGGUGGGCUUCCGAGGUAAUGGGAUUUAUUCUGGAGUAUUUCCUCCACUGUUUGGAGCGUCACCGUGCAAAGGGCCUGGCCGUGGAACUGGCCAUCACAGCUUUCGAGGCUCAGAGGGUUCUUUGUGCUCCCCACAUGAGUCGACAGCACCUGAGACAGAGCCACCCACGCGCCAGGCUCCAGCAGGGACUUCUGCGACUGUUACUAACCCGUGUCAGGACGUCCAAUGCACACCUCUCCAUGCUGCCCAGACUCGCUAGUGCAGUGACAGCCAUCUUUCUAAAACACAAACAUCAC